rnacentral:rRNA from 1 species
UACAGAGGUCCCAAGCGUUGUUCGGAUUCAUUGGGCGUAAAGGGUGCGUAGGCGGCGCCGUAAGUCGGAUGUGAAAUCUCGGGGCUCAACCCCGAAACUGCAUUCGAUACUGCGGUGCUAGAGGACUCUAGAGGAAACUGGAAUUCACGGUGUAGCAGUGAAAUGCGUAGAUAUCGUGAGGAAGACCAGUGGCGAAGGCGGGUCUCUGGACAGUUCCUGACACUGAGGCACGAAGGCCAGGGGAGCAAACGGG